AUUGAACGCUGGCGGCAUGCUUUACACAUGCAAGUCGAACGGUAACAGGCCGCGAUGUGCUGUCGAGUGGCGAACGGGUGCGUAAUGCAUCGGAACGUGCCCAGUCGCGGGGGGUAACUACUCGAAAUAGUAGCUAAUACCGCAUACGACCUAUGGAUGAAAGCGGGGGACCGUAUGGUCUCGCGGGAUUGUAGCGGCCGAUGUAGGAUUACGUGCGUGGUGGGGAAAAGGCUCACCAAGCAAACGAACUGUAGCUGGCCUGAGAGGACGACGGGCCACACGGGGACUGAGAACCGGCCAAGAUUCCUAGGGGAGGCAGCGGUGGGGAUCUUUGGACAAGGGGCGAAAGCCUGAUCCAGCAAGGCCGCGGGCAGGAAGAAGGCCUUCGGGUUGUAAACUGUGUUUGUACGGAAGGAAACGGCUCUGGUUAAAACCCGGGGCCAGUGACGGUACCGUACGAAUAAGCACCGGCUAACUACGUG
rnacentral:rRNA from 1 species